CCCAGCAAGUCUCCCGUUAAAUCCAGCGAUCUAAUCGUUGGGCUGCGGAAGAUACUGUUGGGCUAGGGGGCGGGAGAGGCCGACGGUAUUCCCGGGGUAGGGGUGAAAUCCUAUAAUCCCGGGAAGACCACCAGUGGCGAAGGCUGUCGGCUAGAACGCGCUCGACGGUGAGGGACGAAAGCUGGGGGAGCGAACCGGAUUAGAUACCCGGGUAGUCCCAGCUGUAAACGAUGCGGGCUAGGUGUUAAGGUGGCUACGAGCCACCUCAGUGCCGCAGGGAAGCCAUUAAGCCCGCCGCCUGGGGAGUACGGCCGCAAGGCUGAAACUUAAAGGAAUUGGCGGGGGAGCACCACAAGGCGUGAAGCUUGCGGUUUAAUUGGAGUCAACGCCGGGAACCUUACCGGGGGCGACAGCAGAAUGAAAGCCAGAUUGAAGGUCUUGCUGGACAAGCUGAGAGGAGGUGCAUGGCCGUCGCCAGUUCGUGCCGUGAGGUGUCCUGUUAAGUCAGGCAACGAUCGAGACCCGCAUCCUUAGUUGCAACCCCUGCGGAUUCCGCAGGGAGCACACUACGGGUACUGCCGCCGAUAAGGCGGAGGAAGGAGCGGGCCACGGCAGGUCAGUAUGCCCCGAAUCCUCCGGGCCACACGCGAGCUGCAAUGGCAGGGACAAUGGGUUCCAACCUUGAAAGAGGGAGGUAAUCC
rnacentral:rRNA from 1 species